CUGAGAACAAAGAUAGCGCUUUCUUCCAUGUUGCUCUGCGAUCCUGUCACAUCACAUAAGCUAAGCAGUGCCUGGCUGGGUCAGUAAUUGAUUGGGAGACCACACAGGGACAACUAGAGUGGUUGCUGU
ensembl:rRNA 5S_rRNA 5S ribosomal RNA